UGGGGAAUAUUGCACAAUGGGCGCAAGCCUGAUGCAGCCAUGCCGCGUGUAUGAAGAAGGCCUUCGGGUUGUAAAGUACUUUCAGUCGGGAGGAAGGUGGUAAGGUUAAUAACCUUGGCAAUUGACGUUACCGACAGAAGAAGCACCGGCUAACUCCGUGCCAGCAGCCGCGGUAAUACGGAGGGUGCAAGCGUUAAUCGGAAUUACUGGGCGUAAAGCGCACGCAGGCGGUUGAUUGAGUCAGAUGUGAAAUCCCCGGGCUUAACCCGGGGAUUGCAUCUGAUACUGGUCAGCUAGAGUCUUGUAGGGGGGGGUAGAAUUCCAUGUGUAGCGGGGAAAUGCGUAGGGAUGUGGAGGAAUACCGGUGGCGAAGGCGGCCCCCUGGACAAAGACUGACGCUCAGGUGCGAAAGCGUGGGGAGCAAACAGG
rnacentral:rRNA from 1 species